rnacentral:rRNA from 1 species
CGGGUGAGUAACACGUGGGUAAUCUGCCCUCGGCACUGGGAUAGCCCGGGGAAACCCGGAUUAAUACCGGAUGGCCUUUCGAGUCCUCGGACUCGUCAGAAAAGGUGGCUUCGGCUUCCGGCUGAGGAUGAGCCCGCGGCGGAUUAGCUUGUUGGUGGGGUAAUGGCCUACCAAGGCGACGAUCCGUAGCUGGUCUGAGAGGACGAUCAGCCACACUGGGACUGAGACACGGCCCAGACUCCUACGGGAGGCAGCAGUGGGGAAUCUUGCGCAAUGGGCGAAAGCCUGACGCAGCGACGCCGCGUGCGGGAAGAAGGCCUUCGGGUUGUAAACCGCUUUCAGGAGGGACGAAGCCACUCGGGUUAAUAGCCCAGAGGGUGACGGUACCUCCAGAAGAAGCCCCGGCUAACUACGUGCCAGCAGCCGCGGUAAUACGUAGGGGGCAAGCGUUGUCCGGAUUUAUUGGGCGUAAAGAGCGUGUAGGCGGCCAGGUAGGUCGGCUGUGAAAACUCGAGGCUCAACCUCGAGAUGUCGGCCGAAACCAUCUGGUUAGAGUCCGGAAGAGGAGAAUGGAAUUCCCGGUGUAGCGGUGAAAUGCGCAGAUAUCGGGAAGAAC